rnacentral:rRNA from 1 species
UACGGGGGGAGCAAGCGUUGUUCGGAUUUACUGGGCGUAAAGGGCGCGUAGGCGGUGGAACAAGUCAGUUGUGAAAUCUCCGGGCUUAACUCGGAAAGGUCAACUGAUACUGUGCGACUAGAGUGCAGAAGGGGCAACUGGAAUUCUCGGUGUAGCGGUGAAAUGCGUAGAUAUCGAGAGGAACACCUGCGGCGAAGGCGGGUUGCUGGGCUGACACUGACGCUGAGGCGCGAAAGCCAGGGGAGCGAACGGG